rnacentral:rRNA from 1 species
AAUGAACGUUGGCGGCGUGGAUUAGGCAUGCAAGUCGAGCGCUCAUAGCAAUAUGGGAGCGGCGAACGGCGUAGUAAGACGUAGGAACGUACCCUCGGGUCGGGGAUAGCUACGGGAAACUGUAGGUAAUACCCGAUAAUCUCUGCGGAGCAAAGGUGUGAUUCCGCCUGAGGAGCGGCUUACGCGAUAUUAGCUAGUUGGUGGGGUAAUGGCCUACCAAGGCGAUGAUGUCUAGGGGGUGUGAGAGCAUGGCCCCCACGACCGGAACUGAGAUACUGUCCGGACACCUACGGGUGGCUGCAGUCGAGAAUCUUCCGCAAUGGACGAAAGUCUGACGGAGCGACGCCGCGUGCGGGAUGAAGGCCCUUGGGUUGUAAACCGCUGUCAGAGGGGAUGAAAUCAUGGUGGGUACUCCCAUCAUGUUGACAGAGCCCCAGAGGAAGCGCGGGCUAAGUUCGUGCCAGCAGCCGCGGUAAAGU